UACGGAGGGAGCUAGCGUUGUUCGGAAUUACUGGGCGUAAAGGGCGCGUAGGCGGCCAGUGCAAGUCAGUUGUGAAAUCUCCGGGCUUAACUCGGAAAGGUCAACUGAUACUGCUCGGCUAGAGUGCGGAAGGGGCAACUGGAAUUCUCGGUGUAGCGGUGAAAUGCGUAGAUAUCGAGAGGAACACCUGCGGCGAAGGCGGGUUGCUGGGCCGACACUGACGCUCAUGCACGAAAGCGUGGGGAGCGAACAGG
rnacentral:rRNA from 1 species